rnacentral:rRNA from 1 species
GUGUCAGAAGGUUGGUCGUGCCACCGGUACGUACUGGUCUCACUGAUUCCUCCUUCCUGAAGAACCGUAAUGCCAUUAAUUUGGUGUUGCGGGGAAACAGGACUGUUACUUUGAAAAAAUUAGAGUGUUUAAAGCAAGCUAACGCUUGAAUACAUUAGCAUGGAAUAAUGAAAUAGGACGAUCGAUCCUAUUUUGUUGGUUUCUAGGAUUGACGUA